rnacentral:rRNA from 1 species
CAUAAGCUCGCGCAAGCGAGGAAAACCUUGGUGCCUUGGGAGGGGCCCGCGGCCUAUCAGGUAGUUGGUGAGGUAACGGCUCACCAAGCCGACGACGGGUAGGGGGCGUGAGAGCGUGGCCCCCCACACGGGAACUGAGACACGGUCCCGACGCCUACGGGCGGCAGCAGUGAGGAAUCUUGCCCAAUGGGGGAAACCCUGAGGCAGCGACACCGCGUGCGGGAUGAAGGCCUUCGGGUCGUAAACCGCUUUUCUGGGGGACGAGUAAGGACGGUACUCCAGGAAUAAGUCCCGGCUAACUACGUGCCAGCAGCCGCGGUAAAACGUAGGGGGCGAGCGUUAUCCGGAAUCACUGGGCGUAAAGGGCGUCUAGGCGGCAGCCUAAGUCCCGUGUGAAAGCUCCCGGCUCAACUGGGAGAGGGCAUGGGAGACUGGGCAGCUAGAGACUCGGAGGGGGGUGUGGAAUUCCCGGUGGAGUGGUGGAAUGCGUUGAGAUCGGGAGGAACACCAGUAGCGAAGGCGGCACCCUGGCCGAGAUCUGACGCUGAAGCGCGAGAGCGUGGGGAGCGAACGGGAUUAGAUACCCCGGUAGUCCACGCCGUAAACGAUGACAACUAGGUGUUGGGUGUCCAAGGAUGCUCAGUACCGCAGCAAACGCGAUAAG